rnacentral:misc_RNA from 1 species
AAAUGCAAUGCCUGGAUAUGGCCGUAGUGAUUAGCUUUUGAAGGUAACAACCUUCUUUGAUUAAAUCUAUACAUCAUUUACUGCUAUUGGCAGUCUAAUUUGAAACCGGUGGGUGCCGCCAAGGAGAGGAGAGAUGCAGCCACUAGGGACUAGGAUUCAUAUAUGCUAUAUUUGAAUUUUCCUGCUUUAUAAAAAGAGUAAAAAAUAACAU